AUUGAACGCUGGCGGCAUGCUUUACACAUGCAAGUCGAACGGUAACAGGUUAAGCUGACGAGUGGCGAACGGGUGAGUAAUGCAUCGGAACGUGCCCGACCGUGGGGGAUAACGCAGCGAAAGCUGCGCUAAUACCGCAUACGAUCUGAGGAUGAAAGCGGGGGACCGUAAGGCCUCGCGCGAUCGGAGCGGCCGAUGUCAGAUUAGGUAGUUGGUGGGGUAAAGGCCCACCAAGCCGACGAUCUGUAGCUGGUCUGAGAGGACGACCAGCCACACUGGGACUGAGACACGGCCCAGACUCCUACGGGAGGCAGCAGUGGGGAAUUUUGGACAAUGGGCGAAAGCCUGAUCCAGCAAUGCCGCGUGCAGGAAGAAGGCCUUCGGGUCGUAAACUGCUUUUGUACGGAGCGAAAAGGCCCUUUCUAAUACAAGGGGCUCAUGACGGUACCGUAAGAAUAAGCACCGGCUAACUACGUGCCAGCAGCCGCAGUAA
rnacentral:rRNA from 1 species